rfam:Nitrospirillum amazonense Y2 contig00094, whole genome shotgun sequence.
GGACUUUCACUUUCGCUCCCGCAUCCCUAUAUUAGGGGUGUCGGGCUUGCUCGACUAUGGCGAUAAACGCCUUGCGGAAUAAGCGUUGCGGACCCGGGGGCGGUACCCGGCGCCUCCACCAUCAUGGGGGCGAAUCAGGAUCGACGUGCGUGGUAAAGGCAUGGUUUUCGCUCGGCAUGGUUCCGCCGUUAUCGGGCCGUUUCAUAGGUGCCAACGAUAAUUCGGCGCCUGCUCUUCGCAUGGCCGCCUAAUACCCUCAACGGGGUAUUAGCGGAAAGCUAAGAACGGGGUUCGGGGGGCACCCGGCAACAGAAGCCCCCCACU